UCCCUGGAGGUCCAGUGGUUAAGACUCUGUGCUUCCACUGCCGGGGGCCUGGGUUUGAUCCCUGGCCAGGGAA
rnacentral:tRNA from 1 species